CAGGAAACACAUAGACAAUGAAAGAGGCCAGUCAGAGUGGACGCUUAUUAAGAGUUUCAAUAGCUGAUGGAACAAAGCUCUUUUUAAAGCGAGCCCUCUUCCAGGUCAGAGUUCUGUAUCUCCGACCUGAUGGCAGAAAAGAAAGGAGUGGAUUGAGUGAGUGAGAGGGGUCCUGGUCUCUGCACUGCAGCUUGCGGAUACUGCGAGUAAUCCUCUUGAACUCCCGCUGUCCCUUCUGCCAUCGCUUGAGAGACGUGAUGACCAGCUCUCCGUCCAUCUUCUGGCCCAUGACCAGCCUGCCUGUGAGCCUCACCUCCUUGCUUUGGAUUUUUGUUUGGCCUUUGCUUUUUGAGUUCUCCUGCGCCAGCCCGUCCUCUAUUGCCACUAACUGCCUUAAGCCUUUUAUUUUGCUACAAGCUACAUUAAAACGUCUUAAAGAUUGA